GCAGCUGGGGCCGCCGGGCUAAAAUGGCGGCGGCGGCGGCGGUUGCGGCACCUCGCGCGCCUCGGGUAGGGCGGGAAGCGCCGAACCCUGCCCGCCUCCCGUGACGGGGGAGCCUGGCCGUGCUGCUCGCUGCCCCGCAGCUCCGGACAGCCUCUGCUGAGCCACCCGGGCUCGCUCUGUGCUCCCUCGCCGUUAUUAAACUCUUGAGCCAAGCUGAAGGCUGUUUUUUCGGCCCGGGCGGGAGGUGGCAGGCUCGUGUGGGGAGGCGCGGCGGGAGGAGAGCGGCCGCGGCCCUUCGGGACCUCCGGCCUGAAGGGAGCGCUUACCGCGUCGCGCCGGGCUCCAGCGAGCGCUUUGUCGGCACGCUGCGACGCGAGAAGGCUUCCUAUUGCCAGGAGGUCUCUCGUCUUUUACGUGUUACUGGCGUUUUCCUCUGGCGGGGCGCGGGAAGGAAGGAAGGCGCGGCGGCCAUCUCCUUCCCGCCCAGCCCUGCUGAGGGGAGCCCGAGCGGCGGCUGCUGAGGUGACUGCCGGGAGGCGCCUGGGGGCUCUUCCGAGCCCGGCAUCCCGAAAAUAAAACGCUUGAAGUGCUACGAAACACUCACAGGUAGACACGUAUGAAGACCAAGAGCAGUGCAAGACCAGACAUAGUGCAGAGAACUAUCUGGAGGAGAAAUGUAUUGAGAAUACUAUAGAUGGACGACGGACUAGAAUUCAGAUGGAUUAGAAGUAGUGCACCUGCAUAAGAUGGACCCGCCCAAUGACACCUGGUCUCUAGGAUUAAACUGUGGUUUUGUUUUUCAACAUCUGUGUCAGGGCAGUUCCUCACCCUAUGCCUCCAUACCUGCAGAAGGCUUGAUUCUGGGACACUGGAAGUGGUGCUUCAAGGGGCUAUGGAGCCAGUUUCAUCCCCUUGGAGCUCAGCAGUGGGAGGGAGCUAGCAAAAAAGUCACCACAGAACAACUCAUCCUCAACAAAUCUUUUAUUCACAGUUAAAAAAAAAAAAACAAAGAAAGGAAAGGCAGAAAAGCAGAAAGGAAGGACAACUGUAAGUCUUAUUCUCAGCAAUUGCUGUAAGAUAGUUGAUAAUCACGGAUCAUAGGUCCUCUGCCAAGACCUGUAACGCUAUAAUAAAGUAUACUCAGUAAGUAGCAAUUUGCUAGAGCUCUGGCACUGAAGGCAAUGUAUAACAGUCAUGCUUAUUGCACAGGAACUGAAUAUAAUCCUCAAGGACAACAUUCUAAGCAUUUCAGUCAAACUUUGGAAAGUGGCAAAUUAGGUAAGAAGCUACACCAAGACAGGAGAGCUGAACUACAGCAUGUGCUGUGCCCUAGAAAACAAGUUUGGAUGUUGAACGAAGAGAAAGUGUGUUACUUCACACACAAGUUGUCAAAAGUCGUAGCAACAACUACCUGUAUAUGUGUGCUAAACAAAUAUCGUCUGUAAAGACCCAUGGAAAAAGAAUAAACUGUAUUUCUCAACUUAUUUUAAAGACGUAUUUACACUUUCAAGGAGCAACAAUUAAGAAGAAGGAAAGAAAAACCUAUGAUUUUUAGGCUUUAUUUCUAAUAUAGAAUCACUGAAACUAAAACGCCAUUGAAGCACACUGGGAAAAAUUUUUGAAAGCUUUCCUGUAUUCAUGUGAUUUACUAAUUAUAAAAAAUGCUUUUUUUCCUCCCAAAGGAAUUGAGAGAUUAUACCAUCACAUCCUUUGAGUAUGAG